UUUGCUAUUUUUUUAGUUUUUUUUUCUUUUCUUUCUUUUUUCUUGAAUAUUUGGGUUCUAUUUCAAUUCUUUCUUGACUUGUUCUCUGGGUGCAUUGCCUUUUUGGUUUAGUGUGGGGGGUUUAGUGCUGGAUUAGUUGCAAUUUUGGUUCAUCAAAAGUGUAAGUUCGACUUUUUUUUCUGUUGAUCUAAGGUGUUUGUUUUUCAAUGGGGUUUGAGUUUAAGUUUUAGUAUUUGAAUCAUUUAAUAUCGUGUUAAGCAUUUUCCAUGGUUUUUGGAUAGGCAAAGUUUUGGGGAAUCAACUUUCUCCAGCAGAAUAGGACUCGUCUGAG
rnacentral:lncRNA from 1 species